AUGAUUCUUCAUGCCUGCCGCUGGGAAAACUGGAAACGAGUGGCUGGGACAGCAGGCAGACAGAACCUGACAUCUCAGCCGGCUCUGUUUCCCUCAGGUCCCCAGUUGGGCCAUGGAUA
rnacentral:miRNA from 1 species